UACAGAGGUCCCAAGCGUUGUUCGGAUUCACUGGGCGUAAAGGGUGCGUAGGUGGCCUGGCAAGUUUGAUGUGAAAGCUCGGAGCUUAACUCCGAAAUGGCAUUGAAUACUACUGGGCUUGAGGGUCGGAGGGGAGACUGGAAUUCUCGGUGUAGCAGUGAAAUGCGUAGAUAUCGAGAGGAACACCAGUGGCGAAGGCGAGUCUCUGGACGACCCCUGACACUGAGGAACGAAAGCCAGGGGAGCAAACGGG
rnacentral:rRNA from 1 species